rnacentral:rRNA from 1 species
GACGAACGUUGGCGGCGUGCUUAACACAUGCAAGUCGAACGGCAAGGCCCUGCUUUUGUGGGGUGCUCGAGUGGCGAACGGGUGAGUAACACGUGAGUAACCUGCCCUUGACUUUGGGAUAACUUCAGGAAACUGGGGCUACUACCGGAUAGCAUCUCCUGCUGCAUGGUGGGCGUUGGAUAUUUUCGGCUGUUGGGGUUGGACUCGCGGCUUAUCAGCUUGUUGGUGGGGUAGUGGCUUACCAAGGCUUUGACGGGUAGCCGGCCUGAGAGGGUGACCGGCCACAAGGGGACUGAGAGACGGACCAGACUCCUACGGGAGGCAGCAGUGGGGAAUAUUGCACAAUGGGCGGAAGCCUGAUGCAGCAACGCCGCGUGCGGGAUGACGGCCUUCGGGUUGUAAACCGCUUUCGCCUGUGACGAAGCGUGAGUGACGGUAAUGGGUAAAGAAGCACCGGCUAACUACGUG